rnacentral:rRNA from 1 species
GGGGAAUAUUGCACAAUGGGGGAAACCCUGAUGCAGCAACGCCGCGUGAGUGAUGACGGUCUUCGGAUUGUAAAGCUCUGUCUUCAGGGACGAUAAUGACGGUACCUGAGGAGGAAGCCACGGCUAACUACGUGCCAGCAGCCGCGGUAAUACGUAGGUGGCAAGCGUUGUCCGGAUUUGCUGGGCGUAAAGGGAGCGUAGGUGGAUAUUUAAGUGGGAUGUGAAAUACUCGGGCUUAACCUGGGGACUGCAUUUCAAACUGGGUAUCUAGAGUGCAGGAGAGGAAAGCGGAAUUCCUAGUGUAGCGGUGAAAUGCGUAGAGAUUAGGAAGAACAUCAGUGGCGAAGGCGGCUUUCUGGACUGUAACUGACGCUGAGGCAUGAAAGCGUGGGGAGCAAAC